rnacentral:rRNA from 1 species
AGCAGCCGCGGUAAUUCCAGCUCCAAUAGCGUAUAUUAAAGUUGUUGCAGUUAAAAAGCUCGUAGUUGAAUUUCGGGAUUCGUCGGUUGGUCGGGCUUCACUGUCCGCACUGACCUGACGGAUUCCUACCUUCUGAAUAACCAGCAUGCUAUUAAGUUAGUGCGUUGGGGAAGCAGAGCUAUUACCUUGAAAAAAUUAGAGUGCUUAAAGCAGGCUUGUGCUUGAAUAGAUUAGCAUGGAAUAGUAAAAUAGGACGGCAUGGUUCUAUUUUGUUGGUUUCUAGGAUCACCGUAAUGAUUAAUAGGGAUAGUUGGGGGCAUUAGUAUUCAAUUGUCAGAGGUGAAAUUCUUGGAUUUAUUGAAGACUAACUUCUGCGAAAGCAUUUGCCAAGGAUGUUUUCAUUAAUCAAGAACGAAAGUUAGGGGAUCGAAGACGAUCAGAUACCGUCGUAGUCUUAACCAUAAACUAUGCCGACUAGGGAUCGGACGAUGUUAAUUUUUUAAUGACUCG